AUUUUAUGCUGCAGUACUGCUGUGGGAUUUUACAUUCUUCUACGAGCUGUAGAUCGUUUUGCUGCAAACUACAAUAGCUUUCCAGGGCAAUUUGAUGGUGAGAUGGAUGAGGAGAUAUCAAGACUGAAAACAACAGCUGUCUCACUACUUGCUGAUUUGGGAUGCAACGGAUCAAACUUAACAGAAGACCUUACAAAUGAGAUGUGUCGUUAUGGUGCUGCAGAACUUCAUGCUGUGGUUGCCAUCAUUGGUGGAAUUGCGUCACAGGAGGUGAUUAAGCUCAUCACAAGACAAUUUGUUCCAAUGAGUGGGACUUUUAUAUUCAGCGGCAUUGAUCAUAAGUCGCAGUUGUUAUUUUAGGAUACAAAGAAAGCAACAUGAUUGCAGUGUUCUUUAUGAUGGAGCUCAUAAACUGGUUUUGGAGAAAUCUUGGAUCCUAUACUGACAGAGCAUGCAGAAGAAAUCGUUCAUCUUGAUUAGAAUAGUAGCUUCUGUACGAAUGUUCAUUAGCUAUGAAA